UUUGUUUAGGCAGUUAUACAAUCGAUCUCGCUAUGGGCAUGUUUGCCAUCAAUUCGAACUAAAAUUGAGAUAACGAAAUUAACAUUACUUUGCAAAAGUAGUAUACAAGAGAAAUGUAGCAAUCCAACCCUACAAAUCCUAAGUUUGAUUUUGAUUCUGACACUUUCUCUUCCCUAGUUCAAAGCUUGAUUCAUCGUCUCACGCUACUUCUUUCCAAGAACCUUCAGUUCUUCAAAGCCUUCAAUCAAUCGAAUACAAAUUGUGAAUUGUUGUAACCCAAGAU
rnacentral:lncRNA from 1 species